AAAUGAGCUGUAACUUCAAAGGAGGAAAGCAAUGUUAAAUCUCCUUUGUGGUUACAGUUUUUUACUGUCUUCGUUAUUUUUGUAAAGUGGUUGAAAAUCAAUAUGUACAUAUAGGUACAUUGUAGGAGGAUUUUUUCAUGCAAAACGGUAAAGUAAAAUGGUUUAACGCAGAAAAAGGUUUCGGAUUCAUCGAAGUUGAAGGCGGAGAAGACGUAUUCGUUCAUUUCUCAGCAAUCCAAGGCGAAGGAUUCAAAACAUUAGAAGAAGGUCAAGAAGUUACUUUCGAAGUUGAACAAGGUAACCGCGGACCACAAGCUACUAACGUAGUUAAGAAGUAAUUGAACUAAAAAGAGAAGGGAUUCCCCUUCUCUUUUUUU
rnacentral:sRNA from 1 species